UAAAUUGAGAGUUUGAUCCUGGCUCAGGAUGAACGCUGGCGGCGUGCUUAACACAUGCAAGUCGAGCGAUGAA
rnacentral:rRNA from 1 species